AUUGAACGCUGGCGGAAUGCUUUACACAUGCAAGUCGAACGGCAGCACGGGGGCAACCCUGGUGGCGAGUGGCGAACGGGUGAGUAAUACAUCGGAACGUGCCCGGUCGUGGGGGAUAACGUAGCGAAAGUUACGCUAAUACCGCAUACGAUCUGCGGAUGAAAGCGGGGGACCUUCGGGCCUCGCGCGAUCGGAGCGGCCGAUGUCAGCUUAGGUAGUUGGUGGGGUAAAGGCCUACCAAGCCGACGAUCUGUAGCUGGUGUGAGAGGACGACGAGCCACACUGAGACUGAGACACGGCCCAGGCUCCUACGGGAGGCAGCGGUGGGGAAUGUUGGACAAUGGGCGCAAGCCUGAUCCAGCCAUUCCGCGUGGAGGACGAAGGCCUUCGGGUUGUAAACUGCUUUUGUAUGGAACGAAAAGGCUCUGUCUAAUACCUGGGGCUCAUGACGGUACCGGAAGAAUAAGCACCGGCUAACUACGUG
rnacentral:rRNA from 1 species